UGUAUAUCCAGUAAUUUUUUUUCAAAAUUGAUAGAGGAGGUGGGUUUGCAAGGAGUCACUCGCAAUGAAAUGAGAACCAUAUUUUAUGAAAA